GACGAAGGUGGCGAGCGUUGUUCGGAAUCACUGGGCGUAAAGCGCACGUAGGCGGUGCCGUAAGUCGGGUGUGAAAUCCCUCGGCCUAACCGAGGAACUGCGCCCGAUACUGCGGUGCUUGAGGACCAGAGGGGUGCAUGGAAUUUCCGGUGGAGCGGUGAAAUGCGUUGAUAUCGGAAGGAACUCCGGCGGCGAAAGCGAUGCACUGGCUGGUUUCUGACGCUGAGGUGCGAAAGCCAGGGGAGCAAACGGG
rnacentral:rRNA from 1 species